GACGAACGCUGGCGGCGUGCUUAACACAUGCAAGUCGAACGGAAAGGCCCUGCUUUUGUGGGGUGCUCGAGUGGCGAACGGGUGAGUAACACGUGAGUAACCUGCCCUUGACUUUGGGAUAACUUCAGGAAACUGGGGCUAAUACCGGAUAGGAGCUCCUGCUGCAUGGGGGGGGUUGGAAAGUUUCGGCGGUUGGGGAUGGACUCGCGGCUUAUCAGCUUGUUGGUGGGGUAGUGGCUUACCAAGGCUUUGACGGGUAGCCGGCCUGAGAGGGUGACCGGCCACAUUGGGACUGAGAUACGGCCCAGACUCCUACGGGAGGCAGCAGUGGGGAAUAUUGCACAAUGGGCGGAAGCCUGAUGCAGCAACGCCGCGUGCGGGAUGACGGCCUUCGGGUUGUAAACCGCUUUCGCCUGUGACGAAGCGUGAGUGACGGUAACGGGUAAAGAAGCACCGGCUAACUACGUG
rnacentral:rRNA from 1 species